GUGCUUGUAGUGUAGCGGUUAUCACAUCCGCCUAACACGCGGAAUGUCCCAGGUUCUCUUCCUGGCAGGCACA
rnacentral:tRNA from 1 species